UAAGAUGGAGGAGUCUGAUCCGAGAUGCCUUU
rnacentral:piRNA from 1 species